rnacentral:rRNA from 1 species
AUUGAACGCUGGCGGCAGGCUUAACACAUGCAAGUCGAGCGGAGAUGAGGUGCUUGCACCUUAUCUUAGCGGCGGACGGGUGAGUAAUGCUUAGGAAUCUGCCUAUUAGUGGGGGACAACAUUCCGAAAGGAAUGCUAAUACCGCAUACGUCCUACGGGAGAAAGCAGGGGACCUUCGGGCCUUGCGCUAAUAGAUGAGCUUAAGUCGGAUUAGCUAGUUGGUGGGGUAAAGGCCUACCAAGGCGACGAUCUGUAGCGGGUCUGAGAGGAUAAUCCGCCACACUGGGACUGAGACACGGCCCAGACUCCUACGGGAGGCAGCAGUGGGGAAUAUUGGACAAUGGGCGGAAGCCUGAUCCAGCCAUGCCGCGUGUGUGAAGAAGGCCUUUUGGUUGUAAAGCACUUCAAGCGAGGAGGAGGCUACUUAGAUUAAUACUCUAGGAUAGUGGACGUUACUCGCAGAAUAAGCACCGGCUAACUCUGUGCCAGCAGCCGCCGUAAAAC